GACUAUCAGCAAGAGACUGUUCUCUAAGUCCACUGGGUGUGCUGGGUGCUGUCUCACUGAGAUCCAGAACAACAGUCCUGAUUUUCAGAAGUGGAAAUCCUUAAAGCUGAAAAUGAGAGCCUUGUUCUGCAGAAGAGGAAGAGUACCUUCCGUGUCGCUUGGAGCUGGCCUAAUCCACUUAAUGCCUUUCAGCUUGGUCAUAUGGAGGGACUAGCCACAAAGUUAGGGCUACAGCCCCAGCCCCGGGUCCCAGGCAGCUGCCCAGUGUGCUCAUGCAGUUAGAAUGUUCAGAGAGUAGGACACUGGGCCAAGCACAUGGACUAUUCUGUCCACCGACCAGCACAGAUUAAACCCUUUGUAGACUCCGAGAGCUGUGCUUCUCAGGGAAUUAAAGGAUAGCUUUUGAAAACUAUUUUU
rnacentral:lncRNA from 1 species